GACGAACGCUGGCGGCGUGCUUAACACAUGCAAGUCGAACGGAAAGGCCCUGCUUUUGUGGGGUGCUCGAGUGGCGAACGGGUGAGUAACACGUGAGUAACCUGCCCUUGACUUUGGGAUAACUUCAGGAAACUGGGGCUAAUACCGGAUAGGAGCUCCUGCUGCAUGGUGGGGGUUGGAAAGUUUCGGCGGUAGGGGAUGGACUCGCGGCUUAUCAGCUUGUUGGUGGGGUAGUGGCUUACCAAGGCUUUGACGGGUAGCCGGCCUGAGAGGGUGACCGGCCACAUUGGGACUGAGAUACGGCCCAGACUCCUACGGGAGGCAGCAGUGGGGAAUAUUGCACAAUGGGCGGAAGCCUGAUGCAGCAACCCCGCGUGCGGGAUGACGGCCUUCGGGUUGUAAACCGCUUUCGCCUGUGACGAAGCGUGAGUGACGGUAAUGGGUAAAGAAGCACCGGCUAACUACGUG
rnacentral:rRNA from 1 species